CCUACGGGAGGCAGCAGUGAGGAAUAUUGGUCAAUGGCCGGAAGGCUGAACCAGCCAAGCCGCGUGAGGGAAUAAGGCCCUAUGGGUCGUAAACCUCUUUUGUCAGGGAGCAAAGGCGUCCACGUGUGGACGAGAGGAGAGUACCUGAAGAAAAAGCAUCGGCUAACUCCGUGCCAGCAGCCGCGGUAAUACGGGGGAUGCGAGCGUUAUCCGGAUUUAUUGGGUUUUAAGGGUGCGCAGGCGGUCUGUUAAGUCAGCGGUCAAAGCCCGGGGCUCAACCGCGGCCCGCCGUUGAAACUGGCAGUCUCGAGUUGGAGAGAAGUAUGCGGAAUGCGCGGUGUAGCGGUGAAAUGCAUAGAUAUCGCGCAGAACUCCGAUGGCGAAGGCGGCAUGCCGGCUCCACACUGACGCUGAGGCACGAAAGCGUGGGUAGCGAACAGGAUUAGAUACCCUAGUAGUC
rnacentral:rRNA from 1 species